rnacentral:rRNA from 1 species
GCAUAUCAAUAAGCGGAGGAAAAGAAACUAACAAGGAUUCCCUAGUAACUGCGAGUGAAGCGGGAAAAGCUCAAAUUUAAAAUCUGAUAGUCUUUGGCUGUCCGAGUUGUAAUCUAGAGAAGUGUUAUCCGCGUUGGACCGUGUACAAGUCUCCUGGAAUGGAGCAUCAUAGAGGGUGAGAAUCCCGUCUUUGACACGGACUACCAGUGCUUUGUGAUGCGCUCUCAAAGAGUCGAGUUGUUUGGGAAUGCAGCUCAAAAUGGGUGGUAAAUUCCAUCUAAAGCUAAAUAUUGGCGAGAGACCGAUAGCGAACAAGUACCGUGAGGGAAAGAUGAAAAGAACUUUGGAAAGAGAGUUAAACAGUACGUGAAAUUGCUGAAAGGGAAACGCUUGAAGUCAGUCACGUUGGCUGGAAAUCAACCUUGCUUCUGCUGGGCGUACUUUCUAGUUAACGGGUCAGCAUCAAUUUUGACCAUUGGAAAAAAUUCAGAGGAAAGUGGCAUCUUCGGAUGUGUUAUAGCCUUUGUCUGCAUACAAUGGUUGGGAUUGAGGAUCUCAGCACGCCGCAAGGCCGGGUUUCGACCACGUUCGUGCUUAGGAUGCUGGCAUAAUGGCUUUAAUCGACCCGUCUUGAAACACGGACCAAGGAGUCUAACAUGCCUGCGAGUGUUUGGGUGGUAAACUCAAGCGCGCAAUGAAAGUGAAAGUUGAGAUCCCUGUCGUGGGGAGCAUCGACGCCCGGACCAGACCUUUUGUGACGGAUCCGCGGUAGAGCAUGUAUGUUGGGACCCGAAAGAUGGUGAACUAUGCCUGAAUAGGGUGAAGCCAGAGGAAACUCUGGUGGAGGCUCGUAGCGAUUCUGACGUGCAAAUCGAUCGUCAAAUUUGGGUAUAGGGGCGAAAGACUAAUCGAAACCAUCUAGUAGCUGGGUCCUGCGAAG